rnacentral:rRNA from 1 species
AGUGAACGCUGGCGGUAGGCCUAACACAUGCAAGUCGAACGGCAGCACAGUAAGAGCUUGCUCUUACGGGUGGCGAGUGGCGGACGGGUGAGGAAUACAUCGGAAUCUACUUUUUCGUGGGGGAUAACGUAGGGAAACUUACGCUAAUACCGCAUACGACCUACGGGUGAAAGCAGGGGAUCUUCGGACCUUGCGCGAUUGAAUGAGCCGAUGUCGGAUUAGCUAGUUGGCGGGGUAAAGGCCCACCCAGGCGACGAUCCGUAGCUGGUCUGAGAGGAGGAUCGGCCACACUGGAACUGGGACACGGUCCAGACUCCUACGGGAGGCAGCAGUGGGGAAUAUUGGACAAUGGGCGCAAGCCUGAUCCAGCCAUACCGCGUGGGUGAAGAAGGCCUUCGGGUUGUAAAGCCCUUUUGUUGGGAAAGAAAAGCAGCAGGUUAAUACCCCGCUGUUCUGACGGUACCCAAAGAAUAAGCACCGGCUAACUUCGUG